CCUACGGGUGGCUGCAGUGAGGAAUAUUGGUCAAUGGUCGGGAGACUGAACCAGCCAAGCCGCGUGAGGGAUGAAGGUACAGAGUAUCGUAAACCUCUGUCAGCAGGGAAGAACGGUCACUGUGCUAAUCAGCAGUGAAUUGACGGUACCUGCAAAGGAAGCACCGGCUAACUCCGUGCCAGCAGCCGCGGUAAUACGGAGGGUGCGAGCGUUAAUCGGAAUUACUGGGCGUAAAGCGCUCGUAGGCGGUAUGUCAAGUCAAGGGUGAAAUCCCCGCGCUCAACGUGUGAACUGCCUUUGAAACUGGCAAACUGGAGUGUGUGAGAGGAUAGUGGAAUUCCAGGUGUAGGAGUGAAAUCCGUAGAUAUCUGGAGGAACAUCAGUGGCGAUGGCGACUAUCUGGCACAUAACUGACGCUGAGGAGCGAAAGCGUGGGUAGCAAACAGGAUUAGAUACCCGAGUAGUC
rnacentral:rRNA from 1 species